AUUUCAAAACAUUUCAAAAUGCCCGCUUCCCUGCUCCUCUCUCUCUCUCUCUCUCUCCCUGGCGAUUCCAGAUCUGGAUCUGGAUCUAGGGUUUUUCUCCAUCACGUUUCUACUACUCCAAUUGCUCAUGGAAAUCAUUGGAAUCAAACUCAAGUCUAGGUUUUGAAAUUCACGGAGAGUUGAAGAUGAUGCAAGCUGUUGUUUUAAUUGGUGGUGGUUAGCAACGAUAGAGAUGGUGGUGGUCUGCGGCUUGUGGUGGUAAUGGUUAGCGUCAACUGGUGACCCAACCUAGGGUUUAGAGUUUCGACCAGAUUCUUCUGGUAGCCCUAUCUAGGGCUCUGACCAUAACCCUAAUCCGGUGAAAGUUGUAGAUCUGGUCAGUAAGGGAAUGAAAACGAAUUUCGUGUUGUGUGUGUUGGGCGCUCCGGAGUUUGAUGAUAUUUUACCAAGUUGGACUUACUUUGAGAACAAGGAUCCUGCUGAACAAGAGUCACUGAUUUCUGAUGUUCAUGAUGUGACCGCAAAUGCAGCUUCUGUUAUUGAUGUCUGCAUGCUAAGAAAUGCAGAAUCCUCUGCUGUUGAUGGAGAUAGUUUGAAUCCACAUGUAUGCUUAUACUGCUAUAUGAACAUGAUGAAAAAUUGCAGAGAAGAGCCGGGGGCAUUUAGUGCAGAGUAACCGUAUGCAUCUUAGACCGAAGUUCAGCCCGCACAUGGAAGUCGAUCCUUGUGAGGACUUGACUGAUAAUGACAUACUAAACUGUUAUGCCAUGAGGUUAAGCUGGAGCUUCAUAUACGGAUGAAUGGGUCAAACGGGUCAGAUGUGUUGCAGCACUGGGUCAUUUGUUGCUAGGGUUGUUUUUAAGUUGUUUUCUACACGUACAGGUGGUGGGGUUUUAGGUAUUAAAAGUCUCGUGAGUCUUCAUUGUAUGCAGGUUUUAAUUUCAACUUGUGUAUACAUAUAGUUAUGGGUGGAAAUGGGUAGGCUCGGUAAUGUCUUUUAUAAUUUUUCUAUUUUUUAAUCUUUAUUUUAUUUAGAGCAAAACGGAUCUGAUGCUAAUAGUUGUAUUACAGCCUUUAAAGAAAAAAAUGACAACAUGUUAAGCCUUAGACCUAUGUUGUCAAAGACGCAAGGCGCAGGCGAGGCGCAUAGGCCUCGCCUGGAGCCUAGGCGCAUAGGCCUCGCCUGGAGCCUAGGCGCAUAGGCCUCGCCUGGAGCCUAGGCGCAUGGCGCAAAAAAAGCGAGGGCUUUUUCAAGAAAGGCGCCUACAGAGGAAAAAAAUUAAAAGAUAUUUUAUGCUUUGAAAAUUAACACAAUUCCACAUAUAAAAUAAAGAAACUAUUAUAAAAGCCAUUAGUUUUGGUGUUUUAAUUUUAAAAAAGAUGAGUAUGGUCUGGUGGUGGCUGAUUAGAAUAAAAAGGACAAGGAGACACAUCUUUAUCCAAUGGUUAAAAGGUUGACUUUUCAAGUCAGUUGAAAUAAUGGUUUACAGCUGUGAAAAAACUAUAAAAAACUUUAUAAAAAAGCAUAAAAAAAGAAAGGAGCUCCUGACAGAAUUAAGCUCACGUUUUUCUCUCGCUGCGCGUGGUUCCGGGCGCUCGCUCGAGCACCGUUUUUACAAAAAAAAAAAAAAAAGCCAAGUUUGCGUCUAAGCUACCACCAGGCGCUAUAGCCUCGCCUCGCUGCGCCUGAGCGCCUUUUUUGCAAUUUGUGAGCGUGUUUGAACCAGUUUGGGGCUGCUAUGAUAUCAAGUUUGCAAGCCCUUGAUUUGGGUUGUUUUGGUGGAGGAAUUGACUCGUUAUGCACUUAUGCUUAAGCUUUGCCAGGAUUUUAAGUGAUCUUGGGAUCCAAUAUUGAAGGUAACGAGUUAAGGGCUGCUGCAUGUUGGUUCUUAUUUAGUAAGGGGCAGAUGGUAAAUUAGCAUAACUUGUACCAAAUUGCAACAGUUUGUUUCAAUAAUUAUUGUUGUUCUUGUCGGACGCCGGAUUUGCAUGAGACACCAUCAUGCUAUACUUGCCUCUUUUUGAUGUUGAACUUGGCUAAUGAUUUGAAAAUAACUCUGUUGCAGAGGUAUCUCGGAAACUAUGUUCAUGGACUCAGUAAAAAGCCUCUCAGUAUCAGCGUGUGGAAAGAUCCAUGGCUUGCAUAUGCACUUAUAAAGAAUAAUCCAGAAUAUGCUGCAAAGGUAGUUCUAUAAGCCUUGUAACAGAUAACUUUUUAACUAAGAUAUGAAUUAUAGGUACCCAAGGGAAACCCGUAUCACAAUGCCACUUUUGGAGGAAUGGCAAUAUAUUGCUCUAAUAGCAUGAUUCUAAGAAAGGUGAAUCGUCAUUGGUGGGGGAAGAUACCCAGAACCAUUACCUAUCUGACAGGUUUCGAGUUUAACUUGGUUGACCGGACCCCAGGCUUACGAUUUAUAUAAAGUUACCUUAUAAUAUGUAAUUUCUUCCUCAUUUAUUGUAUAGAAAAAAGGCAACUAAGGAAUUAUAUGUUACCCAUGGCUUUAUAGCCUAGUGGUAUCUUGGGGUGAGAUAAGACUUUAGACCAA